GAUGAAGAACGCAGCGAAAUGCGAUAAGUAGUGUGAAUUGCAGAAUUCAGUGAAUCAUCGAAUCUUUGAACGCACAUUGCGCCCCUUGGUAUUCCAUGGGGCAUGCCUGUUCGAGCGUCAUCUACACCCUCAAGCUCUGCUUGGUGUUGGGUGUUUGUCUCGCCUCUGCGUGUAGACUCGCCUCAAAACAAUUGGCAGCCGGCGUAUUGAUUUCGGAGCGCAGUACAUCUCGCGCUUUGCACUCAUAACGACGACGUCCAAAAGUACAUUUUUACACUCUUGACCUCGGAUCAGGUAGGGAUACCCGCUGAACUUAAGCAUAUCAAUAAGCGGAGGA
rnacentral:misc_RNA from 1 species